rnacentral:rRNA from 1 species
GAUGAACGCUGGCGGCGUGCCUAAUACAUGCAAGUCGAGCGAACAGAUGAGGAGCUUGCUCCUCUGACGUGAGCGGAGCACGGGUGAGUAACACGUGGAUAACGUACCUAUAAGACGGGGAUAACUUCGGGAAACGGGAGCUUAUACCGGAGAAUAUAUUGAACCGCAUGGUGCAAUAGUGAAAGUCGGUUGUGCUGGCACGUAUAGAUGGAUCCGGGCCGGUUUAGCUAGUUGGUAAGGUCACGGCUUACGAAGGCUAGCAUGCGUGGCCGACCUGAGGGAGUGGUAGGCCACACUGGAGCUGAGACACGGUCAAGGCGACUACGGGAGGGAGCAGUAGGGAAUCUUCCGCAAUGGGCGAAAGCCUGACGGAACAACGCGGCGCCAGUGGUGAAAACCUCCGGAUCGUAAAACUCUGUUACGAGUGAAGAACCAAUGUGUACGUAACUAUACACUUCUUGACGGUAACUAGUCAGAAAGCCACGGCUAACUACGUG